rnacentral:rRNA from 1 species
UACGAAGGGGGCUAGCGUUGCUCGGAAUCACUGGGCGUAAAGAGCUCGUAGGCGGUCUGUCGCGUCGGCUGUGAAAACUCGGGGCUCAACUCCGAGCUUGCAGUCGAUACGGGCAGGCUAGAGUUCGGCAGGGGAGACUGGAAUUCCUGGUGUAGCGGUGAAAUGCGCAGAUAUCAGGAGGAACACCGGUGGCGAAGGCGGGUCUCUGGGCCGAUACUGACGCUGAGGAGCGAAAGCGUGGGGAGCGAACAGG